CCUACGGGAGGCAGCAGUGGGGGAUAUUGCACAAUGGGGGGAACCCUGAUGCAGCGACGCCGCGUGGGUGAAGGAGUGCUUCGGCAUGUAAAGCCCUAUCGGCAGGGAAGAAGCAAGACGGUACCUGACUAAGAAGCCCCGGCUAACUACGUGCCAGCAGCCGCGGUAAUACGUAGGGGGCGAGCGUUAUCCGGAUUCACUGGGUGUAAAGGGAGCGUAGACGGCCAUGCAAGCCAGGGGUGAAAGGCCGGGGCCCAACCCCGGGACUGCCCUUGAAACUGUGCGGCUAGAGUGCGGGAGGGGCAAGCGGAAUUCCUGGUGUAGCGGUGAAAUGCGUAGAUAUCAGGAGGAACACCAGCGGCGAAGGCGGCCUGCUGGACCGCGACUGACGUUGAGGCUCGAAAGCGUGGGGAGCGAACAGGAUUAGAUACCCUGGUAGUC
rnacentral:rRNA from 1 species